GUUAUAGUAGUUUAAAAUAUAAAACUAUGGUCUUGUAAACCAAAAUUAAAUAUAAUAUUUCUAUAACU
rnacentral:tRNA from 1 species